GACGAACGCUGGCGGCGCGCCUAACACAUGCAAGUCGAACGGAGAUUACAGGCGGAAGUUUUCGGAUGGAAGCUUGUAAACUUAGUGGCGGACGGGUGAGUAACACGUGAGCAACCUGCCUAUCAGAGGGGGAUAACGAUUGGAAACGAUCGCUAAUACCGCAUGACAUAGCGGAACCGCAUGGUUCUGUUAUCAAAGAUUUUAUCGCUGAUAGAUGGGCUCGCGUCCGAUUAGAUAGUUGGUGGGGUAACGGCCUACCAAGUCGACGAUCGGUAGCCGGACUGAGAGGUCGAACGGCCACAUUGGGACUGAGACACGGCCCAGACUCCUACGGGAGGCAGCAGUGGGGGAUAUUGCACAAUGGGGGAAACCCUGAUGCAGCGACGCCGCGUGAGGGAAGACGGUCCUCUGGAUUGUAAACCUCUGUCUUCGGGGACGAAACGAGACGGUACCCGAGGAGGAAGCCACGGCUAACUACGUG
rnacentral:rRNA from 1 species